UACAGAGGUGGCAAGCGUUGUUCGGAAUUACUGGGCGUAAAGGGCGCGUAGGCGGCCCGUCAAGUCCCGUGUGAAAGCCCCCGGCUCAACCGGGGAACUACACGGGAAACUAGCAGGCUUGAGUUCGGGAGAGGGAAGCGGAAUUUCGGGUGUAGCGGUGAAAUGCGCAGAUAUCCGAAGGAACACCGGUGGCGAAGGCGGCUUCCUGGACCGACACUGACGCUGAGGCGCGAAAGCUAGGGGAGCAAACGGG
rnacentral:rRNA from 1 species